ensembl:lncRNA
AUGACCACAGGGGCCUCUAGGGGCUUCCUAGGUGGUGCAGUGGUAAAGAAAUCUGCCUGCCAAAGGAGGAGACACAGAAGACUCAAGUUUGAUCCCCUAGAGGAGGAGAUGGCAACCCGCUCUAGCAUUCUUGCCUGGAAAAUUCCAUGGACAGAUUUCACUGGUGGUCUAGUGGCUAAGACUCUGAGCUCCCAAUGCAGGGGCCCCAGGUUCAUUUCCUUCUCAGGGAACUAAAUCCCACAUGCUGCAACUAAGACCCAGCACAGCCAAAUAAAUGAAAAAAAAAAAAAAUUCCAUGGACAGAGGAGCCUGGCGGACUAUAGUCCACGGGGUUACAAAGAGUUAGACACAACUGAGUGACUGAGCACAGUCCCUGGAACAUAGUGUUUGAGCCUUGUAGGAAGUCAAUAGAUAAUUGACUAUCACCAAUUGUAAUUAUAAAAAGAUUUUUCUUUUUGCCUUCCAGACAACUUUUAGUAAGAUCAAAUUUAAAUGGUGUAAUAUAAAGACAUAGUCAAGUUUUCUUUGAAAGACUGCAGCUGAUAAGUUCUGUUAGCUUAGCCAGUGGAAAUCAAUUUGUUAAAGUAUAGACCACCAGAGUUUAUUGUGUAGAACAUACAUUUUGUGGCUUUCAUUCUAUUUUACAGCAUAAUAUUUCUUCCAAUGAAGCACCUGCUAUAUAUAUGUCUAUCAGAUGUUUUUUUUUUCCUCCAAAACUUGGCAUAUUUUAGCAUCACUGACAGCAAUUUUCAAAUACCUGAAAAGAUUAGAAGACUUAAAUACAAAGAGUACCUUAAGUGGCAGUGGUGUUUCCUGGGAGAUAAAGAAAUUGAUAGAGAGGAAAGUUAGUUUAAAAAGUCAGCCCUAAGGAUAGAGCCAUCAGAUUGUUUCACCUUUGAAAUGAUCUAUUUACGAUGGAAGCUUUGAAUAAUAAACUGUGUGGCUGGAAUGUUCUUAGGAACCCCUUGUAAUUUUGUGUAUUCUAUUUUAAACUGUUACCUAUUUAAGUUCUCUGAUGUCAGUUCAAACCAGCACAAAUAAAAGUACCAACACUGCCUCCCCUUGAGUAUGCACAGAAUAGUAAAGACAGACAUAUAGAUGAUUAAUCUCAACAUUAUGGGGAGAUGGAGUGAUAAAGUCAUGGGGACCCUAAGUGAAGCAGCUGAACACGGGAGGGCAGGUAUAGGUAAGCUGUUAGAGGCGGAGGGGAAGAAAGUGUGGGCUCUGAACCAGGGAUUUGGAAAUGCAUUUUUUCUCCACUGCUACAAUCUAUAGCUUAUACAAUGUCCUUCCAUAUAAAUGGACAAACCCUAAUUAUAUAGUAAAUGUGUGUGUGUGUGCGCUCAGUUGUGUCCAACCCUUUGUGACCCCAUGGACUGUAGACCACCAGACUCUUCUGGGAUUUCCCAAGCAAGAAUAAUGGAGUGGGUUGCCGUUUCCUCCUCCAGAGGACCUUCCCAACUCAAGUAUGGAACCUGCAUCUCCUGUGUCUCCUUCAUUGGAAGGUGGAUUUUUUUUUUUUAACCAUUGAGCCAACAGGAAUCAGU